rnacentral:rRNA from 1 species
GACGUAGGGGGCGAGCGUUUGUCCGGAAUUAUUGGGCGUAAAGAGCUCGUAGGCGGUGUGUCACGUCGGCCGUGAAAACCUGCAGCUUAACUGUGGGCGUGCGGUCGAUACGGGCAUCACUGGAGUUCGGCAGGGGAGACUGGAAUUCCUGGUGGUAGCGGUGAAAUGCGCAGAUAUCAGGAGGAACCACCGGUGGCGAAGGCGGAUCUCUGGGC